UAGCUAGUUGGUAGGGUAAAGGCUUACCAAGGCAAUGAUGCGUAGCCGAACUGAGAGGUUGAUCGGCCACAUUGGGACUGAGACACGGCCCAAACUCCUACGGGAGGCAGCAGUAGGGAAUCUUCCACAAUGGGCGAAAGCCUGAUGGAGCAACGCCGCGUGGGUGAAGAAGGUCUUCGGAUCGUAAAACCCUGUUGUUAGAGAAGAAAGUGCGUGAGAGUAACUGUUCACGUUUCGACGGUAUCUAACCAGAAAGCCACGGCUAACUACGUGCCAGCAGCCGCGGUAAUACGUAGGUGGCAAGCGUUAUCCGGAUUUAUUGGGCGUAAAGGGAACGCAGGCGGUCUUUUAAGUCUGAUGUGAAAGCCUUCGGCUUAACCGGAGUAGUGCAUUGGAAACUGGGAGACUUGAGUGCAGAAGAGGAGAGUGGAACUCCAUGUGUAGCGGUGAAAUGCGUAGAUAUAUGGAAGAACACCAGUGGCGAAAGCGGCUCUCUGGUCUGUAACUGACGCUGAGGUUCGAAAGCGUGGGUAGCAAACAGGAUUAGAUACCCUGGUAGUCCACGCCGUAAACGAUGAAUGCUAAGUGUUGGAGGGUUUCCGCCCUUCA
rnacentral:rRNA from 1 species